AUGCGUGUGCUAUAAUGCAGUCGAGCGAACAGAUGAGAAGCUUGCUUCUCUGAUGUUAGCGGCGGACGGGUGAGUAACACGUGGGUAACCUACCUAUAAGACUGGGAUAACUCCGGGAAACCGGGGCUAAUACCGGAUAAUAUUUUGAACCGCAUGGUUCAAUAGUGAAAGACGGUUUCGGCUGUCACUUAUAGAUGGACCCGCGCCGUAUUAGCUAGUUGGUAAGGUAACGGCUUACCAAGGCGACGAUACGUAGCCGACCUGAGAGGGUGAUCGGCCACACUGGAACUGAGACACGGUCCAGACUCCUACGGGAGGCAGCAGUAGGGAAUCUUCCGCAAUGGGCGAAAGCCUGACGGAGCAACGCCGCGUGAGUGAUGAAGGUCUUCGGAUCGUAAAACUCUGUUGUUAGGGAAGAACAAAUUUGUUAGUAACUGAACAAGUCUUGACGGUACCUAACCAGAAAGCCACGGCUAACUACGUGCCAGCAGCCGCGGUAAUACGUAGGUGGCAAGCGUUAUCCGGAAUUAUUGGGCGUAAAGCGCGCGUAGGCGGUUUCUUAAGUCUGAUGUGAAAGCCCACGGCUCAACCGUGGAGGGUCAUUGGAAACUGGGAAACUUGAGUGCAGAAGAGGAGAGUGGAAUUCCAUGUGUAGCGGUGAAAUGCGCAGAGAUAUGGAGGAACACCAGUGGCGAAGGCGGCUCUCUGGUCUGUAACUGACGCUGAUGUGCGAAAGCGUGGGGAUCAAACAGGAUUAGAUACCCUGGUAGUCCACGCCGUAAACGAUGAGUGCUAAGUGUUAGGGGGUUUCCGCCCCUUAGUGCUGCAGCUAACGCAUUAAGCACUCCGCCUGGGGAGUACGACCGCAAGGUUGAAACUCAAAGGAAUUGACGGGGACC
rnacentral:rRNA from 1 species